rnacentral:rRNA from 1 species
UACGUAGGGGGCAAGCGUUAUCCGGAUUUACUGGGUGUAAAGGGAGCGCAGACGGAACUGCAAGUCUGAUGUGAAAGCCCGGGGCUCAACCGCGGGACUGCAUCGGAUACCGUGGAUCUGGAGUGCCGGAGGGGCAAGCGGAAUUCCUGGUGUAGCGGUGAAAUGCGUAGAUAUCAGGAGGAACACCGGCGGCGAAGGCGGCUUGCUGGACGGCAACUGACGUUGAGGCUCGAAAGCGUGGGGAGCAAACAGGAUUAGAUACCCUGGUA